rnacentral:rRNA from 1 species
UACCCAGACUCCUACGGGAGGCAGCAGUAGGGAAUUUUGCGCAAUGGGCGAAAGCCUGACGCAGCAACGCCGCGUGAUCGAGACGCCCUUCGGGGUGUAAAGAUCUGUCAGUGGGGACGAAACUUGACGGUACCCACAGAGGAAGCACCGGCUAACUCCGUGCCAGCAGCCGCGGUAAUACGGAGGAUGCGAGCGUUAUCCGGAUUUAUUGGGUUUAAAGGGUGCGUAGGCGGGAUGCCAAGUCAGCGGUAAAAAUGCGGUGCUCAACGCCGUCGAGCCGUUGAAACUGGCGUUCUUGAGUGGGCGAGAAGUAUGCGGAAUGCGUGGUGUAGCGGUGAAAUGCAUAGAUAUCACGCAGAACUCCGAUUGCGAAGGCAGCAUACCGGCGCCCUACUGACGCUGAGGCACGAAAGCGUGGGUAUCGAACAGGAUUAGAUACCCCAGUAA